GCCUGGGUGGCUCAGUUGGUUAAGCGUCUGACUUCAGCUCAGGUCACGAUCUCCCGUGAGUUCGAGCCCCGCAUCGGGCU
rnacentral:tRNA from 1 species